rnacentral:rRNA from 1 species
UACGUAGGGGGCGAGCGUUGUCCGGAUUUAUUGGGCGUAAAGAGCUCGUAGGCGGUUCGGCAAGUCGACGGUGAAAUCUCCACGCUCAACGUGGAGGGGUCCGUCGAUACUGCUGUGACUCGAGUCCGGUAGGGGAGUGUGGAAUUCCCGGUGUAGCGGUGAAAUGCGCAGAGAUCGGGAGGAACACCCGUAGCGAAGGCGGCGUUCUGGACUGUUUCUGACACUGAAAAACGAAAGCCAGGGGAGCAAACGGG